rnacentral:rRNA from 1 species
GCCCUUAGAGUUUGAUCAUGGCUCAGAAUGAACGCUGGCGGCGUGCCUAACACAUGCAAGUCGCGCGAGAAAGCCCCUUCGGGGGUGAGUAAAGCGGCGGACGGGUGAGUAACGCGUGGACAACCUACCCUGGGGUUGGGGAUAACCCUGCGAAAGCGGGGCUAAUACCGAAUACGCUGUACAUUCCCUGGUUGUUAAUGGCUUCGAGGGUAUGUAUGGGAAAGGUGGCCUCUGUUGCAAGCUACCGCCCUGGGAUGGGUCCGCGUCCCAUUAGCUAGUCGGUGGGGUAACGGCCUACCGAGGCGACGAUGGGUAGCCGGCCUGAGAGGGUGAUCGGCCACACUGGGACUGGAACACGGCCCAGACUCCUACGGGAGGCAGCAGUGGGGAAUUUUGGGCAAUGGGCGCAAGCCUGACCCAGCAACGCCGCGUGUGGGAAGAAGGCCUUCGGGUCGUAAACCACUGUCAGGAGGGAAGAAAAGCAGAUGUCGAACAGGCAUCUGUCUUGACGGUACCUCCAGAGGAAGCGCCGGCCAACUCCGUGCCAGCAGCCGCGGUAAUACGGGGGGCGCAAGCGUUAUUCGGAAUCACUGGGCGUAAAGCGCGCGUAGGCGGCUACGCAAGUCAGGUGUGAAAGCCCUCGGCUUAACCGGGGAAUUGCAUCUGAAACUGCGUAGCUAGAGUUCGGGAGAGGGCGGCGGAAUUCCCGGUGUA